rnacentral:rRNA from 1 species
UACAGAGGGUGCUAGCGUUGUUCGGAUUCACUGGGCGUAAAGGGUGCGUAGGUGGCCGGUUAAGUCUGACGUGAAAUCUCCGAGCCUAACUCGGAAACUGCAUCGGAAACUAUCCGGCUCGAGGGUUGGAGGGGGGACUGGAAUACUUGGUGUAGCAGUGAAAUGCGUAGAUAUCAAGUGGAACACCAGUGGCGAAGGCGAGUCCCUGGACAACUCCUGACACUGAGGCACGAAAGCUAGGGGAGCAAACAGG